rnacentral:rRNA from 1 species
CAGUCGAACGAAGCGUGCCGGAGGAAGUUUUCGGAUGGAAUCCGGGAUGACUGAGUGGCGGACGGGUGAGUAACGCGUGGGUAACCUGCCCUGUACAGGGGGACAACAGUUAGAAAUGACCGCUAAUACCGCAUAAGCGCACAGGACCGCAUGGUCCGGUGUGAAAAACUCCGGUGGUACAGGAUGGACCCGCGUCUGAUUAGGUAGUUGGCGGGGUAACGGCCCACCAAGUCGACGAUCAGUAGCCGACCUGAGAGGGUGACCGGCCACAUUGGGACUGAGACACGGCCCAAACUCCUACGGGAGGCAGCAGUGGGGAAUAUUGCACAAUGGGGGGAACCCUGAUGCAGCGACGCCGCGUGAGUGAAGAAGUAUUUCGGUAUGUAAAGCUCUAUCAGCAGGGAAGAAAAUGACGGUACCUGACUAAGAAGCCCCGGCUAACUACGUGCCAGCAGCCGCGGUAAUACGUAGGGGGCAAGCGUUAUCCGGAUUUACUGGGUGUAAAGGGAGCGUAGACGGCAGAGCAAGUCUGAAGUGAAAGCCCGCGGCCCAACUGCGGGACUGCUUUGGAAACUGCCCGGCUAGAGUGCUGGAGAGGUAAGCGGAAUUCCUAGUGUAGCGGUGAAAUGCGUAGAUAUUAGGAGGAACACCAGUGGCGAAGGCGGCUUACUGGACAGUAACUGACGUUGAGGCUCGAAAGCGUGGGGAGCAAACAGGAUUAGAUACCCUGGUAGUCCACGCCGUANACGAUGAAUACUAGGUGUUGGUGGGNAAAGCCCAUCGGUGCCGCCGCAAACGCAGUAAGUAUUCCACCUGGGGAGUACG